GAUGAACGCUGGCGGCGUGCCUAACACAUGCAAGUCGAACGAAGCACCUUACCGGAUUCUUCGGAUGAAAGUUUGGUGACUGAGUGGCGGACGGGUGAGUAACGCGUGGGUAACCUGCCCUGUACAGGGGGAUAACAGCUGGAAACGGCUGCUAAUACCGCAUAAGCGCACGAGGAGACAUCUCCUUGUGUGAAAAACUCCGGUGGUACAGGAUGGGCCCGCGUCUGAUUAGCUGGUUGGCAGGGUAACGGCCUACCAAGGCAACGAUCAGUAGCCGGUCUGAGAGGAUGAACGGCACAUUGGAACUGAGACACGGUCCAAACUCCUACGGGAGGCAGCAGUGGGGAAUAUUGCACAAUGGGGGAAACCCUGAUGCAGCAACGCCGCGUGAGUGAAGAAGUAUUUCGGUAUGUAAAGCUCUAUCAGCAGGGAAGAUAGUGACGGUACCUGACUAAGAAGCUCCGGCUAAAUACGUGCCAGCAGCCGCGGUAAUACGUAUGGAGCAAGCGUUAUCCGGAUUUACUGGGUGUAAAGGGUGCGUAGGUGGCAGUGCAAGUCAGAUGUGAAAGGCCGGGGCUCAACCCCGGAGCUGCAUUUGAAACUGCUCGGCUAGAGUACAGGAGAGGCAGGCGGAAUUCCUAGUGUAGCGGUGAAAUGCGUAGAUAUUAGGAGGAACACCAGUGGCGAAGGCGGCCUGCUGGACUGUUACUGACACUGAGGCACGAAAGCGUGGGGAGCAAACAAA
rnacentral:rRNA from 1 species